GCGCUUUGGCAGCACAUACACUAAAUUUGGAAUGAUACAGAGAACAUUAGCAUGGCCCUUGUGCAAGGAUGACACACAAAUUCAUAAAGCAUUCCAUAUUUUU
rnacentral:snRNA from 1 species